UUCCCCGGAUACAGAACCUAAGCAGCUUGACUCCCCCUCCUUGAUCGCGCUGAGCUUCAGCUAGGGCUGGGUGGCAGAAUAUAGGCAGUGCCAAAAGCAACUAGAAGACUGGUCCUGAUCCUUCUCCUCUAAGGUGCAGUAAAUGCUUCUCUGGUCCCGUGUGCGAAGUCCAGCACUAAGAUCACUGCCUGCAUGGUCCCCCUCAACCAUCUAGAGAUACUGCAACUGAAUCAUCAAAAGACAGAGAACUUUAAAAGCACUAGGAGAAAACUCUUGUCCCAUAACACAGACCUUGGACGGAAACUGGAGAGGGGAAGAUGAUGAGCUCAGAAUUCUAAAAGAAAAGAAAAGCUGUCACCCAAGCAAACCUGGAGAAGCUGUCCCUCGAGGAUAGGACAGGCUGGAGAGAUGGCUCAGCAGCUCAGAACACCUGCUGCUCUUGGAAAGGACCUGAGUUCAGUUCCCAGCACUUACAUGUUGGCUAGAACCUGCCCAUAAUUCCAGUUCCGGGGAAUCGAACACCUUCAUCUAGCCCAAUGGUUCUCAACCUGUGGGCUGCAAUCCCUUUGGGGGUUGCAUAUCAGAUGUCUUGCACAACAGAUAUUUAGAUUACAAUUCAUAACAGUCACAAAAUUACAGUUAUGAAGUAGCUGCAAAGUAAUUUUAUGGUUGGGGUGUCACCACAACAUGAGGAACAGUAUUAAAGGGUCACAGCACUAAGAAGGUUGAGGACCACUGUUCUAGGCUCUGCAAGCUUCUGCAUGCACCCAAUACACAUACAUACAGGUAGGCAACAUACUGAUAUGCAUCUGAAAUUUUAAACAUUUAAAAAAGAAAUAAGUGAGAUAAACACAUUGUCAGAAACAAAGCAGAGAGGAUCAUCAGCACUGGCCAUGACUUGUAAGACCCACCUCAUAAGGAACCCUGGUGAUUACUCAAGUUUGAAUGGCAGGGAGCCAGAUACUAGUAGUAGCAGACAGAAAACUCACUGGUGAGCAUUCAGAGGUGAACUCUGAAUGCAGUUAACACUGGAAGGAGGGUGGGCAGGCAAAGCAACUGGAGUUCACAGGCUAGUGGAUAAAAGAACUGUAACCACCACAUCGUGUUAUUAAAAAAAAGAUACAACAUAUGGCAUUACUAUAAAAAGAUGUCGGGAAAAGUGGAAGUGUAGUUUUGCAUGUUUUUGAAGUUAUCUGCUUUAAGACAGGCCAUUUUAACUACAAUGUUUUAUGUAAGUUUCACAGUUACCACACACAAAAGGAAAACUUGAAUAAAUAAGAAAUGGUGAGAAAUCACAGCACGUGGCUGCAAAAGAAUAAGCAUCACACACACACACACACACACACACACACACACACACACACACACACACACAGGCAUAUACACAGUCAUAAAAACAAAACAAAAACAGAAAACCAAGUCGUAUGUGACAAUGUUCAUGAACUCAGAGGACAAUGAGCCAGACACACAGCACGCGGCACAGCCUCACAUGUGGAAGGCAGAGCAUCACAUUUACAGAAGCAGAAAGCAGCGUGGUAGUUACCAGAGGCUGAGGGGUGAGGGCAACCGGAGUCGGGAGAGGCUGUCAAACACAGCCUGAGUCAGCUCUAAGACUGAGAGCCGUGAGGAGCCAGCAUGCUGCGCGUGACUGUUGCUAACCAUUCUGCCUGGAAUCGCUGGAAAGGGUAGGGAGUAAGUGUUCCUCCCCCACCACACACUAAAAAGACAAGUGUGAGGUUCUGGAUUCGGCAAUUACUUUGACUGGGGUAAUCUUUUCACAUUGCAUACAUAUAUUGAAGGACAAAUUGUAUAUCUAACGUAUAUCAAAUUUGCGUUAGUUAUACCUCAAACUGAAACAUCAAAAUGUCCCAUUUAUUUAUUUAUUUAUUUAUUUAUUUAUUUAUUUAUUUAUUUAUUUAUUU